AUGGAGACCGACUGUCUAGAGGUGGUGAACCUCUGGAACUCGCGCUUCACCGACCGGUCGGUGAUUGCACCUAUUCUGGCAGAAGUUGAAGAGUUAACUCUUAGUUUUAAUUCUUUUAUUAUUCAACAUGUAAUGAGAUCAGCGAACGGUCCUGCACAUCUUUGUGCUAAGCGAGGUUGUUCGCUUAAUGUGACUGAAAGCUGGCUAGACUCCACUCCUAGCUUCCUGAUCAGCAGCUUACUGGCUGACUGCUCGGCGAAUGCGUUCGUUGAAUAA
rnacentral:rRNA from 1 species